AGUAGAUUGGGAAACUCGUCAAAUUUACGUGAAAUACCGAGACACUCUUGCCGCCCAAUGGCGGGCCCCAGCCGGUCGUAGAUCGGUAGACAUUGAUCCGGGGGAUUACAAAGGACGUCAAGAACUCAAAUCCUGUCUUAUCGGAGUUUCAUCGCAUCCUUUGAUGUGGGCUU
rnacentral:sRNA from 1 species